AUUGAACGCUGGCGGCAGGCCUAACACAUGCAAGUCGAGCGGAUGAAGGGAGCUUGCUCCUGGAUUCAGCGGCGGACGGGUGAGUAAUGCCUAGGAAUCUGCCUGGUAGUGGGGGAUAACGUCCGGAAACGGGCGCUAAUACCGCAUACGUCCUGAGGGAGAAAGUGGGGGAUCUUCGGACCUCACGCUAUCAGAUGAGCCUAGGUCGGAUUAGCUAGUUGGUGGGGUAAAGGCCUACCAAGGCGACGAUCCGUAACUGGUCUGAAAGGAUGAUCAGUCACACUGGAACUGAGACACGGUCCAGACUCCUACGGGAGGCAGCAGUGGGGAAUAUUGGACAAUGGGCGAAAGCCUGAUCCAGCCAUGCCGCGUGUGUGAAGAAGGUCUUCGGAUUGUAAAGCACUUUAAGUUGGAAGGAAGGGCAGUAAGUUAAUACCUUGCUGUUUUGACGUUACCAACAGAAUAAGCACCGGCUAACUUCGUG
rnacentral:rRNA from 1 species